rnacentral:rRNA from 1 species
CAACGCCGCGUGAGGGAAGAAGGCCUUUGGGUUGUAAACCUCUUUUCUCAGGGAAGAAGUUCUGACGGUACCUGAGGAAUCAGCCUCGGCUAACUCCGUGCCAGCAGCCGCGGUAAUACGGAGGAGGCAAGCGUUAUCCGGAAUUAUUGGGCGUAAAGCGUUCGUAGGCGGCCGUUCAAGUCUGCUGUCAAAGUCCGAGGCUCAACUUCGGGAAGGCAGUGGAAACUGAACAGCUAGAGGUCGGAAGGGGCAGAGGGAAUUCCCAGUGUAGCGGUGAAAUGCGUAGAUAUUGGGAAGAACACCGGUGGCGAAAGCGCUCUGCUGGGCCGAACCUGACGCUGAGGGACGAAAGCUAGGGGAGCGAAUGGGAUUAGAUACCCCAGUAGUCCUAGCCGUAAACGAUGGAGACUAGGUGUUGCCUGUAUCGACCCGGGCAGUGCCGAAGCCAACGCGUUAAGUCU